UACGUAGGGGGCGAGCGUUGUUCGGAAUUACUGGGCGUAAAGCGCGUGUAGGCGGUUUGUUAAGUCUGGUGUGAAAGCCUUGAGCUCAACUCAAGAAAUGCACUUGAUACUGGAUGACUAGAGGACCGGAGAGGAUAGUGGAAUUCCCAGUGUAGUGGUGAAAUACGUAGAGAUUGGGAAGAACACCAGUGGCGAAGGCGGCUAUCUGGACGGUUUCUGACGCUAAGACGCGAAAGCGUGGGGAGCAAACAGG
rnacentral:rRNA from 1 species